UGUAGUCUUUUGCUCGUCUAUGGGUAUGGCGGGGCCCUGUCCCGUCGAGUUUCAUUACUGUACUCUUAGAGGUCUGUGGACAUUAUGUGGGUUGUAUAUAUAUGUUUUGGGUAAUGGUCUGGACAUGGUUUGUUUGGGAUGUCCGCUUGUACAAGGGCAGCCUUGUCGGCUGCGUACAUAAUUGUGUAUUGCGUAGUGGGAGCCUUGUCGGCUUACGUAUAUUAUUAUGCUUUGAAUAGUAGAGCCUUAUUCGGCUCGCGUAUGUUGUUGCGGUUGAAUGGUUAUGACUCCUUACGAGACAGGUCCUCUUUAUAUAUAUAUGACGUUGGGGUUGGCUUGAUUUGAUUAAAUUUCAUUUUGUCUUAGUUUCAGUUGGUUAUACUUAGCAGGUUUGUAUGUGGGUGUCCAAAACGGGCACUAGUCACGGCCCAUCGGGUUGGGUCGUGACAGGUACGUACUUCCAUAUCUCCUAAAUGAUUAUGACCACCAAUAUGACAUCUCAAAAGAGUUAUGAACUGAUAAACAACAAUCUCAAAGAUUAAAGAAUCUAAGUGAAAAAAUCUAUAUAAUUACAAAUGGCAGCCAAGGGGCGAAAGCUUAGCAUGGGUCGAUCCCAACUGGUACAUAAGGGUGGCAACUCAGGAGUUAAAGCCUAGCAUGGGUCGAUUCAUAUUGGUAUAGAAGGGUGGCAGCUCAGGGGCGAAGGCCUAGCAUGGGCGGAUUGAAAGUUGUGUAAUUCUAAGGACCCCAUUCCACGGGUUAAUACCCCUAGAAUGGGUCAUCCUCUUCUACCACUGAUUAGUUGGUCACUUGUAUCACAUUCCCUAUUAAUAAAAUUAUAACAUAUAGAAAAGUAAAGAAAAGAAUGUAACUUACCUUAUCCCAUAAGAGUAAGCAAAGGUGGUCUUCUCUCCUUAUUUAUGCACUCAUAUGUUGCUACUUUGAUUUCAUUUGAGCUCUCGUAUUACAUAUGUUAUUGCUUUACACAUUCAGUACAUUUUUUCGUAUUGACGUCUCUCGCGGGGGACGCUGCUUUUUAUGUUGCAGGAACAGGUACUCAAGCUAGUAGACCUCCUCAAUAGGAGAACACGAAACUCUGCUACUUUUGGGUGAGCUCCAAGUUGAUUCAGAGCUUUAUUGAGUCUUGCAUAAAUUCAUUUCGGUAUUGUAUCGUAGUUAAGGGUAAGGAAGAGUUUGUGCCAACCUAAUCUAGUCUUCUAUCUUUUAGAGGCUUUGUAGACGUACAUACAUGGUUCAGUUGUGUCUUAAGGAGUUGUGGCCUCAACGGCCAAUUCUUCUAUAUAACUUUUGGACCUACUUAUGUUGUUUUGUAUCGCUGCAUCCUAGGUUAACUUGCCACAAUUGUUAUAGUUAUAUGCACAGUAAGAACAGGUUGCAAGUUGGUUCUCUCGGGCAUUUAGGGCAUCGGGUGUCUGUCCGUCUUAAUGGGUUUUAAGGCAUGAAAAUGAGAAUCAAAUCCUUCCUUCAAAACUCGUCACAAGACUUCAACGGCCAGAACCUAAAAUGUUGGGGGAAAAGGGAGAAAAUGGGGUUAGCAUAUUACUUGUACUAAGUAUGAGACCAUAUGUGAACACAACAUAAAAUCAUGCUAAACAGGGACCUUUCAAUAAAGUAUGCAAUUUACUUUGAAAAGCCUCGUGCACAUUUCAAGAAAUCAUAACAAUCAAUAAAACAUAUUGAUUAAGACAAGACCAUGUACAUCACAAGAGCAACCAUACUAAUUCCAAUCAAGCCAACAUUUAUAUCAACAUAAUUAUAUAGUCAAUACAACUCUAACCUCAAUUCGUAACAUCAACAAGCGUGGAUAAAUAUUUAAUAACAUUAUAACCGAAGCAAACUCAUGAACCCUCACUAAGUAUACUAGUGCAAUGACUAAGCGAAUCCCCAUAACCUUACUUAAUGUAGUAAGCCUAACAAGAACCAUAAACAAUGUCCAACUUCAUAUAACAUGUCUUUAAGAGUACAAAGCACCAUACUUUAGCAUUAGAGACCGAUAUAGGUGAAACCAACAUCAUAUAGUAUCAUCAACAUUAAGAUCAUCAUAUACAUAUCAUUUACAUUUAUAAGCAUAUACAUUUAUAAGAACAUCCUCCUAACACUUCCCUCAAGGAUACUAGUGCAAUGAGUAGGUAGAGUCCUAUACACCUACCUAGACUAGGCUAAACCCCUUAGGUCAUCUUAGUUAGACUUCAUUCCUUUAGUUCAUUUUACCUCUUUGGAACAUCUUGCCUUAACCGACAUAUACCAUAUGAGCUAAUGUGGAAUCCGAUUUCAUGGAACACUACACCGAAGGAAGGCAGAAUACUUGUCAAAGUAGUACCAAAACAUGUACAUAGCAUCUAUUGUGGAUACACUAGCUAGUAUUCCUAUGGGGGUACCAUAGUUAAAGAGCUAGGAGAUAUAGUUGGGACCCUCCUUAUGCUACAUGCAUUAUAGUCUCCAAUCUCAUGAGUACAUUAGUGAUCCUACCUUCCUUAUGUGAGAAGGGACACUCAUCACUCUAGUUCACUCGGUGCUACGCAAGAUUCCUUUUUGAAAUAUCUUUAAUGCCUUUAUUCAUCAUCACAACUUAAUGUAGGUCAUAGGGUCUAUGCCUUAUAUAAUCAUUAUUAUAGCUCAAUAAAAAUUUCAUGAGUAUUUUCCUUUCAUUACAAUUCAUACAUGUGAGGUCAACACAUUACGUAAUCACAUCAUGAUAAGGCACAUUGGUAGUUAUCACCAUCCUUAUAACAUUUACAUCUUAGCUAACAACUCACAAUCCAUAGUUCAAGAAUUUACAAUUCAACAUCAUACAAACCAUAGCAAUCUUAACAUAAGGUAUACUUCAACACAACAUCAUCACUUAAUCACAAGUAAUCAUAAUUGAAGUAAAGAAUAGAGAUCAUAAGACUUACCCAAUCUCCUUCACAAUUUUAUCAUCAAGCUCUUACCAUCAACCCUCCAAUUCAAUCCAACAAUGGGUGUAAUAUUAUCACAUAAUAGUAACCAACAAAAUAAUGAAGUUAAUUGAAUCACUACACAACAAUUCAUUACUAGUUCAUAGCCUAGAAUUAGAGACUUAGGUCAAGUUCAUGAUCUAAGUCAAUUAUUCAAGAAAUAGCAUAGUGGGAUUUAUUAAUUUAGCAUGAUAACAACAUAGGAUAGUAAUUCACACACUAACCAAGCAAAUUAUAUCAAUACUAUACAAUCAAUUAAAGAUAACAACCUACGGUUAAGGGGAAAAGGUUAUCUUUCCACAAACUAGGUCAAUGCAUCAAGAAUUAGUAUAAUGUAACCAUAAUAUAUGUUAAUAUACUCAUUAUAACCAAAAAAAAUCUUAAACAAAGCAAUUCACAAGAUCAAUUUCGUAAUGGAAGAAACCCCACUUGAAUUUCAUACUUUUGAAAUCUCAAUUUGAAGGAGCCCUUUGGGAAAAGAGAUCCCAAAGGUGAAAGAAAUCCCACACAACACUAAUUGAUGAAGUUUGAUUUAUAAAGUUUAUCCUUUGAAUCCCUAGAACCCUUCCUUGAUAAGUCUUCAAUGGGGUUUCUUUGGGAGAGAGAAGGAAGAGCAAUUUAGGUUUGGGAAAUUAUGAGGGUUAAGUGAGGUUUAGGCUUAGGGUAGUUUAUAUAGGGACUUAACUAACUUAAUUAACCACCCCCAAAUCCCCAAUUAACCUCCUAACUAAACUAACUAAUUAGAUGAAUUAAGUAACACAAGGGCAACCUACGAGACCCUAACUGACGGGUCGUAGGUCAUUUGACGCCCAUGUGCCCCUCUGUCAUGCACACUCAUUGUUUGUGUCAGAGUCUGGUCCAAUUGGACCAUUAGAAAAAAUGUCUAAGUGUUGGUCGAAGGAGGCAUCGACGCCCUGAUCCAAUGAUGCCUCGUCGCCUGCAACUCAUGGGUAGGCACUGCCUUUGGGCAGCUUUUUUCCACAAUGUAAGGGUCCUCCUCAAGGGCCCUUUGUUGUUCCUUGGGGAAUCGUACGCAGACGUUUUGACUAUAAACUAACUCUAUUACGUGUUAGACACCUAACCAUCCAAUUUCAUGAUUUUCCAACUCUUAAAACUUAGUCAAAUGGGCUAAGGCAUGCUAGCACCUCUUGAACUAGUUUUUAGACUUCAUGGACGUUCCAUGAAGUUUUGAUUCUAACACUUCCUAAAUGACUCAAAUACCUUAUAAUUGACCUUACUUUUACAACUAUUAGACUCUCAUGUUAGGCUCUAAAUUAGGCUUUAGAAUUUUGGAGUAUUACAUUAUCCACCCCUUAGGAACAUUCGUCCCUGAAUGACACUAAAAAAAUUUUAAAGGAAGGAAUAGACUCAAGACUAGCAACCCAACAAACAACAACACAUCAAAACAUGAGUUACAAUCAAAAUUAAAAUAAUUACAUGACCUUUUACCAAAUGCAACUCAAAACAUAUUUUCAAAUAAUAAGAGUUCAUCAUUCAUUUCAUGCUUAUUCAUAUGCCAAGGCUUUCUUCAACACAUAUAAACAUGCUCAAUACAAUUCAUGAAGGCACAAUAUACAAAAAUGCACAACAUAAACUCAAAACAAGUAAAAACAACAUUUUAAGUUAAUAGGCAUAAGUUCACUAUAAUUCAAUGUAACAUGAAUAUUUUUGCAAAACCUUACCAAAAAUUAAAACUACGUCAAGUUUAAUCAUUAUUUUUAUUAAUAGUAAAAGCAACUAACCUUGGUUAUCAAAUAUAUGAGGGUAACGGAACUUCAUGUCAGCCUCGGUCUCCUAUGUUGCACCCUCAACUAGGUGAUUCUUUCAUAACACCUUUAGGGAAGCCACCUCUUUAUUUCUUAACUUCUUCAAUUAUCUAUCAAAGAUUUGAAUCGUAACCUCUUCAUAAGAGAGGUCUGUUGAACACCUAGAACUUCAAUAGGAAGAAUGGACUCUGGAUCACUAAUACACUGCUUAAGCAUAAAAACAUGGAACACCAGAUGAACCAAAGUCAAUUAACUAGGUAACCUCAACUCGUAUGCAACCUUAAAUCUCACCACCCCUUUCAUAGGCGAAACUUUUAGAUACAAAAGUGAAGUAUCGUGCACUUCGAACCUUCCAAUUGGAUAUAUACAUUUCCUACCAUACAAGGCUUCAUAAGGAGCCAUAGAUAUAGAUGAAUGGUAACUAUUGUUGUAGGAAAACUCAACCAAUGGCAAGUGUCUAUACCAAUUUCCAUUGAAUUCAAUAAUACAAGCUCUAAUCACAUACUUAAGGGUUUGAAUUGUAUAAUUCACUUGACCAUCCAUUUGAGGAUGAAAAGUGGUGCUUAACUUCACCUUGGUAACAAAUCCUUUUUGGAAUGACCUCUAGAACCUAGAUGUAAUUGUGCACCCCAAUCCAAUAUGAUGGAUAACGAAAUACUAUGGCAACACACAAUCUCAUCUAUGAAGAUCCUUUGCAUAACCCUCCACCCAAUAGGUAGACUUGACGGGAAUAAAAUGAGCGGAUGUCAUGCCUCAAAUCCCAUUAAGACAGACAAGCACCCGAUGCCCUAAGGGCCCAACAGAACCAACCUGAAAUAUGUUCUUACUAUGCAUAUAACUAUAACAAUCGUGAUAAGUUUAAAAAGGAUGCAGCGAUAAAAACCAACAUAAGUAGACCCAAAAAUUAAAUACAAGACUUGGCGUUGAGGCCACAACUCCUUAAGACAUAACUGAACCAUGAACAUACGUUUACAAAGCCUCUAAAAAGAUAGAAUACCUAGAGUAGGCCCCGCCUUACCCUCAACUAUGAUACAAUACCAAAAUGAAUUUACACAAGACUCAGUAAAGCUCCAGAUCAACCUGGAGCUCAUCAAAAGUAUCUAAAUGUCGUAUCCUCCUUCUAAGGAGGUCUACUAGCUAGAGUACAUGUGUCUGCGGCAUGAAAUGCAGCGUCCCCAGCGAGGGGUGUCAAUACGAAAAAUAUACUGAAUAUGUAGGCAAUAUAGCAUAUAUAAUAUGAGGGCUCGAAUGAAAUCAAGUAUCAACAUAUGAGUGCAUAGAUCAGGAGAGAAGACCACAUUUACUUACCCUUGUGAGAUCAUGUAAGUUACAUUGUUUUCUUUACUUGUAUGUAUGUUAUAAUAUCUUUGUAGGGCAUGUGAUACAAGUGACCAGCUAGGCAUAUUAACCCCUACGAUACGGUCCUCAUAAUUACACAAUUUGAGAUCGGCCCAUGCUAGGCUUUUUCCCUUGAGCUGCAACCCUUCUAUAACAAUAGGGCGCCCAUGCUAGGCUUUCGCCCCUGAGCUGCCACCCUUAUGUACCAGUUGGGAUCGACCCAUGCUAGGCUUUCGCUCCUGCGCUUCCACCCGUAAUUAUGUAUAUUUCUUCACUUAGAUUAUUUAUUCUUUGACAUUGUUGUUUAUGAGUUCAUAACUCUUUUGCCAUUGUUCUUUGGAUAAUCGUAACUCUUUUGAGAUAUUAUUUUGGUGGUCAUAACCAUUUUGGAGAUAUGGAAGUACGGACCAAUAUUUGAAGACAUGAAAAUAAUACUUCAAGGUGAUAACAAUGGCAUAAGGAGCUAUGUCACAUCAACACAUUACUUUAAGAGUUUAAUGACAGAAUUGACUUCAACCAACAAAGAGGAGGAUUCGCCAGACUUUCUUUUGCAAAUACCAUUUCUAAACUAGCACAUGCGGGAAUAAUUUCACAAGUAUAAAAUAGUGAACAUAUAAUGAAGUAGUUCUAUGCACUUCGGAGAGGGGGAAAUAUUGUUAGCUAUUUGGAGAUAGUACGCUGCCACUAUGUUUCCUUUUCUAGGAAUAGAACUUAUGAGAAUCACCUCAUUAGUAUUAAUUGCAAUUAUCAAAUUUCAUGCCAAAGGGAUAUAGAAUCGAAUAGCCUUGCAUAACUUAUCCUUUGACCAGUAUAACUAUCACUAUUCAGCCUCCCCUUUUCGGUUUUAAUCUACAAUUUAAGUCAUGGUAAACUAAAAUUAGUAGCUAUUACACCAUGAGCCUCGUAAAACAGUAGCUAACUUUGACAGAUAAUGAACCCAUCUAUCCCUUUAACAUAACGUGUAUCACCACACCCUCAUUCUAUGACCAACACAUACAUUAUAUAUCCUUCCUCAAAAUCAACCAAGCUACACCAAAAAUAAUACACAUAGAACAGCCCCAAAUAUUCUUUAUCAUACAACCAAUUAUUGAAUUCAAUACCCUCUUGAGUUCUUUAUUACAGCACACCCCUAAUUCCUCACUCAAACUCAUACAUAAGGAAGACAAAAAAAUGGGCAGUCACCUUACCUCAAUUUCAGCAACUUCUCCUUAUAACUUGAAUUCUUCUAGAAAUUUAGGUUCCCUUCAUACUUAAACCAAAGAACAAGAAAAAGGUCUCUUUGUAACUAAGGAAGUGAUCAUUAUCUUCUUGAAUUCUUUUGAUUUUGUAUUUAUACUUGAGCAUGAAAAACAUAUUUUUCCAAUAAUCCAUGCGAGAAUUAAGCAAACUCCAGUUUUCACUUGCCUUGUUUUGCAGAUAUGAGGGUUUCUUGAAGAACCCUAAAAACUCCUGUUUUAAUCUUGAAGAUAAAAGAGAGAGAGAGAGAGAGAGAGAGAGAGAGAGAGCUGGAGAUAAUUCUCAAUAUUAUGUGUUAAAUUGGGUGAAGAAUAUCUGCUCAUAUUGGAUAUAUAUGGAAGUUUAUUGACCACAAAAAUGUCCUCUAGAACCUCCUUUUUUGGGGUCCAUUUUCA
rnacentral:lncRNA from 1 species